UUAGCGGUUCGGCAAAACUGGAGCGGAUAGUAUAAGUACUAGGCUUACAAAGAAUAAGUCCUGGGGUCGAUUUGAUCGACUAAAUGCGGUGCUCCAGCAUGGCCACAGUCACAUGACUGAAACUCGUCAAAGUGUAAAAGAGUACAAGAGUAUUUGUACU